UAUUGAAUUUUUUUUUCUAUUUCUACUGUUAAAAAUGAGUAUGACUGAUGAAAUAACCAAACAUCUACACAUGACGCGCCAUGUGUACCUCAUGCUAGUGUAAAGGAACCAACUUUUAAUAGUAAAAAUGAAAGAAAUUUUUAAUA
rfam:Gossypium arboreum cultivar AKA8401 contig_3441_13, whole genome shotgun sequence.